GACUGCCGGUGUUAAACCGGAGGAAGGUGGGGAUGACGUCAAGUCCUCAUGGCCUUAUGCUUAGGGCUACACACGUGCUACAAUGGGUGGUACAAAGAGAAGCCAACUCGCGAGAGCGCGCCAAUCUCAAAAAGCCAUCCUCAGUUCGGAUUGGAGUCUGCAACUCGACUCCAUGAAGUUGGAAUCGCUAGUAAUCGCAGAUCAGCACGCUGCGGUGAAUACGUUCCCGGGCCUU
rnacentral:rRNA from 1 species